rnacentral:rRNA from 1 species
GGAAAUGAGAGAGACCACAGGGAUUGCCCCAGUAACGGCGAGUGAAGCGGCAACAGCUCAAAUUUGAAAUCUGGCCCCCCCCCCCGCGGGGCCCUAUUUUUUGUUUGCGAAGGAUGUUUUUGGCGCGCUUCCUUCCUAGUUCCCUGGAACGGGACUCCAUAGAGGGAGACACCCCCGUCUGGACGGACGCCUACCCUCUGUAUCCUUCCUUCAACCAAUCAAGUAGUUUGGGAAGGCUGCUCUGAAUGGGAGGUAUAUGUCUUCUAAAGCUAAAUAUUGGACACAGACCGAUAGCGCACAAAUAGAUUGAUCGAAAAAUGAAAAUUUCUUUGAAAAGAGGGUUAAACCGUACGUGAAAUUGUUGAAAGGGAAUUGCUUGUGAACAGACUUGGGCGGGAUCAACCGUCCGUCUCUCCCGCCGGCUCCCUCCCCCCCGCCCCAGCCUCAAUUCGCUCCGGGGGAGGAAGAAAGCGGCAAGGAGCGUCCCUCCCCCGGGAUAUAUACCGCCCGGCAAUGACCGCCCCCGGACUGACUGACGCUCGCCCGCCCGGAUGGUGGCGGAAUGAACGCCAACGACCGGCCCUGCUUGACGCACCGAGGAGUCAUCCUCCCAUGCAAGCGAUCGGUCGGCAGACCCACUACCUACAAUGAAUGAGAACGCACGCGAGAGACACACUCUCGCAUCCUUCAUCGAUCCAGAUGGACGCUCAUGGAAUGUGAUUGAGAAAAAAACAUACGCCGGACCCGACACAGAAAAGAAGAGCUAUGUCUGCCGUGUGGUAGGAUUGCAAGCCGGAAGCACUGUCUUGGAUGCAUCGCUUCGCGAGUUGUUGACUGGACGAAAUCGAAUCGAUCCGAUCCAAUAGCAGUGAUGCGAUGGGCGAAACAGA